AUUUUGGGGGCUGGAUCCAUGACAGUUCAGAGUACAGUUAGUUAGCUAUCCUACUGAGCACCCGAUGUCACUGGUGGAUAUUCUAAAAUAAUGCAUGUGUAACUUAUUCCUUAAUGCUUGUAUUAAUGUGUAGCCACAUCUUGGGAUUCUCCGGACCCCGACAUCAUUCAGAGGCUCGAUGCUCAGUCUUCCCUGGCUACGAUAGAAACCAGAAGCUUUGUCUUCUCCCCACCUGCCAGGGGUAUCCAUGCCUGCUGGCCUCCUCCCGGGCUGACCUGCUGUGGGGAAGGUCUUUCCCUUCAUCUGUGCUUGGUGAACUCCAUUUCGUCCUUCCAGAAACAGCACAUGACAGAGCUGACAUGACAGCAGCUGAUGCUGACUGACGCUUUCCUCAGAAUCAGGGCUGUGCUGGUGCUCUACAAACAAUCUUGCCUUUUAUCCUCCAGUCCUCGCCCAAGAAAGGGAGCCCGUUCCUUCCUCCCGCUCCUGGGUGCCAGCCCCACUGAGUCACCUCGCACCUACCCCUGGCAGGUCCCUGUCUAAUAUUAAGGCAAUGACCACACGGCAUGCCACAUGCUAGAUGAGAAAGAGCGAAGUGUGACGGGGGAGGGAGGGGCAUGAGGGAGAACAUCCUGGAAGGUGUUCUGGUGACAGGACGUAUAGGGCGGGUCUCUCUUAAAGGCUGAAUAAAUGAGUCCAGCGAAGAGGAUGAUGGAGGAGGUGCAUAUUAAAAAUGACUGGUGUCUGAAAUGAUGGCUAGGACACGAAGGACACCAGGGACGACAUGUGGACAUCGGUACGAGGAAGAGAGAUUUCUCUCCAUUAGUUAACUCUGCGCUUUGGGAGGCGGGGUUGAUCCAGAGCUAGAGCUUUUCUGAACAUCAGGGGUAGGUUGACAGGGAGGGAGGAAAGCCACGAGAGGUCAGACAGCCUGGGGGCUCACGGGAAGGUUACAGCGGGUGUUUGUGGAUGACUUCCAGGCACAAGGUACUCUGGCCCCUGUUUUCCACCAGUGGGUCACUACCGUUUUCCCACUCUCAGUCAGUAUGGUUUUGUGGAAUCCAUUCCACCAACAGUGGAUCUUGAGGCCCUUUCUCCCCGCUGUUGGGGGGCUGUGGUAUCACAAUGGGAGACAUGAAACUGAGGCCGCCAUUUGCAACCACAUGGGGCUGCCCAAGGAGACGUUUGGACAGAAUGGGGGUGGAGCGGAUUCCCCAGAAGGCACCCUGGCCAGAGGGAGAGAGUCUACCCCCGUGACAUCAGGUCACUGCAUCCAAACCUUCAGGAAGUACGUUUCCUCCCAAGCUCCCUUCACAGAUGAGGGGAAGGGGGACUCUUGCCGUGGUCUUACUUCCUCUCCACCCCUCUUCGCAGGGUGAGACGAGUGGUUAGCUUAUCUUCUAGGCAAGGGUUGAGGGACCAUAUAGGGGUACAUGCACACCUAACCCAGGGCAAGUUCCCCAGGCUAGACGUGCAGAACACCCCACCGUCCUGGGCUCAGUGAGGGGUCCUCAGGGGGCGGAUUUCCCACCGAUUGUCACAGAGACUGUGAAAGAGAGCUGACAUUCUCAAAGGAGAAGGGAUCUGAGACCACAUGACCCCGGACCUGCCAACAGCCCUCCAUGCUUUCUGUGGCCAGGUGCACGCUCAUGAUGAAGCUCCCAGAGAGGGAGGUACAGAGCCAGGGAGGCCAUGUGAGCUGAGGAACACGCUUUGCACACAAGCUAUUUUGAGUCAGGUUUUCUGUUAUUUGAAACAAACUAACCCAAAUAACACUCUCAGGCUGGAGCAGUUGUGAAGUCCAAUGUGCAAUGCAGAAUUCAGGAGACAGAAAAGGAACAGGAGUUAUCUGGGGCUUUGCCUGUGUCCCUAGGAGAUGGACGUUGGCUCCCAUGUGCUCCCAACCCCACCCUGACGCAGCUCAAGAGCCUGGCUACGUAUCACGAUGGCCAGCACCGGGCUGUUGAUGAGGAUUCAGGCUCGGAUUCUUACCUUCCAAACGAGGAUUCUCUCCUCCACAGACUUGAAUUUUUUUUUUCACACACAGCUGUGAAAAUUCAGUCUGAGAAUAUGGUGUCAGUAUGAACGUUAACACAGCUUUGGGCUCGUUAAUUAGAAUUUUGAAAAAGCAAUUCGUUCUAAUAAUGGUCAGGAUGCUGCGUUUUCCAGGUGACUAAAUUCUAUCAGCUUCACCUUGAACUGAGGAGUAAGAGGCAUGUUCUGGAUGCACGUGUGCAAAAUUAAGCUAUACUUGUCUUGAUCAAGCAUUAGUUUAUCUUUUGGUAACAAUCCCCAAAAGGAAAUAAAAUUAAUGAUGGAAAGUUACGUGGCAGCUCUUCUCACUCUCUCUUUUUUGGGAGGGGGGGGGGUUUGUUUGCUGUUUGGGCCAAUAUAUUCGCUUCCCCUAUAUAUGAAAAAAUCUGGGUUUCCUUGCUGUCUUGCUCGGUCCCAGGCUAGUUUUGCUGACCUAACUGUAUCCACCUCAGGGACUGAUAUACCGAUCUCCAAAACAUAAGCAUUGGGGGCCUUCUGAACUGAACUGUGGUCUUGAUUAUGGAGAGAUUGAUUCUUUUCCAUUUUAUUGCAAUAUUAGGCAACGGGAUGUUUUUCUUCGGUCAUGACCAAAUACUUACAAAUGUAUUUGGGUCUCUGAGGUCAGUCCUACCAUCUGCUUCCUGUGUAUUUUCCCUUAAGAACCCAGAGGGAUUUUUUUUUUUAAAUAACAGCAUUAUUAAAAUAUAAACUCACACACCAUAAAAUUCACCUCUUUACAGUACACAGGUGAGUGGUAUUUUAGUACAGGGAGGGAUCUUUUUUUUUUUUUACAACCCAUGCCAACUCUCAUCCCCAACCUCAGAGCCCCUCAAAGCUCUACGAGAUUUCAGGUCUUACCUUUUCCCCCCUGCAAUUGUUUAGCACAUUGGCAGAUAACAGGUGCUCAAUAAAUACUUGUGGAAGGCAUAUAUCCAUUAUUUUAGAGGCAGGCUAAGCUCAAAGAUAUACUACAAACAGAAACUCUUGUGUUCUGGUAAUGGUAUUAUAAAUCAGAAUUUUAUAAACAGUAAAAUGCCAUGGGUUAUUCUUUGCCACUUGACAGUAUCUUAGAUUGGAUAUGAUGUGAUGUAUACGUGCUUUGUCCUUGAAAAAGAACACGCUCCUUUAUCCAAUUUCAGACUAGGGAAUUUCAGAGAUGAUGCCCAGAUGAGGUAGCCAGGGGGAAUUAGUUGAAUAUCACAGAUUCUUUUUUUUUUUUUAAGUUUUUUAAUGUUUGUUUUUUUAUUUUUGAGAGACAGACAGAGCGCGAGUGGAGGAAGAGCAGAGAGAGAGGGAGAGACAGAAUCUGAAGCCGGUUCCAGGCUCUGAGCUGUCAGCACAGAGUCCUACGUGGGGCUUGAACUCACAAAUCCUAAGACCAUGACCUGAGCUGAAGUUGGACGCUUAACCGGCUGAGCCACCCAGGAGCCCCAAACAUCACAGAUUCUUAAGUGGGUGUUUCAGGCACACGGGCAGGAAAACAAAACAAAGCAAAACAACAGCCAAUAAUUGAUCAAACAUUUGCUUCAAUAGGACUUUGUGGAAUAAUACGCUGCAUGUUGCCAAAUAAAUAAAUAAACUGCCUACUGAUUACACUCAAACAUUUUUCUCUGAGGGUUGAAAAAUAAUUGCUAAGUAUAAAAAUAUGCAUGGGCUAAAUUACCCACCAACACAAAACUGAAUAUUUGUUUUUAAUAUUAAAUCUCCAUGUGACGAAAACUAAUUAUGGUUAUGAUUGGUAAUCCAUAUUUUGAAAAGCUCCCAGGACACCAAAAGCACUCGGAUGGAGGCAGAGCCCCCACGAGGGCGUCUCGACAAUGUUCUUAAAAGUUUCCCUGCCAAAACACCAGCAGGAACUCUUGCUGGCUUACCGCUCAAAGGAGAGACCAUCUGUUGCCUCUACUUUCCGUGGAUAUAGUAAAAGCAAUUUAGAGCAGGUUCCUUCUUCCAAAAACCAGCUUUCUGCACUGAGGUGACUGUUCAGUUCAGUGGUAAGCAGCUUAACAAACGUCUCGUUACGACGCUUAAGAAAAUAACGCAGUGACUACAAAAGUCCAAAUUUAUGACUUGACCCAAUGAAUCACUGCGAAAAUAUGAUGAAAUCAGAAGACUGGAAACAACCUACAUGCCCAUCAAUAAUAAAAGGAAGCUGGCUGGGGGAAUUUGAGUUCAUCCAGCCCGUGGCGUGCCACACAGCACUAAAAACACAAGCACAAUCGCGUGGCUGAUCACAGGGUGACCGCCAGCAGGUAAGUGCAGGGGGCCAGAUGCCAAGGGACCAGCAGUGGGCAGUCCCUUCUCUGCUCUGCCCUCCAGCAGCUGCGCAACUCAGGGAAGUCACUCCCUCCUCCGUUUCCCCAUGUGUCAAAAGGGGGGACAGUAACAGUUCCUCUCUUAGGGUUGCUAAGAGCUGUUUCGAGAAGACGUUUGCAAAGCACUUAGAAUGCCGCUGCCUGAAGUAAACACCGCAAGUAUUUGAAGCUCUCCUCGUCCCCACACACAGACGUGUUAACAGACGCACGGAGUCUCUCUGGAAAUGUUUACGAGGGGCUGCAAACAGGGGUUGCCUCUGAGAGAAGGUUCUGGAGGGUCUGGGAGGAGGUGGUCAGAAGAAGAUACAGUUAUUUCCAGCACCCUUUUUGGAACGAGUUUCUUUUUACUGUGGGCAUUUGUGACUUAAAUGAAAAGACUUAUGUUUUUAAAAAAGGAAGCAACAGGGCCCCUGACAGGAGCAAAUAUUUUUGAGAUGAGUAUCUGACGUUCACAAUGAUUCAACUUGGACUCCUACUUGAACGCAGGUGGCCACGCAGAGGCCCCUGGAUCAGCCAACUCCCAGGACCGGUGCCCUCAGUCCCACCACGGGCUGUGAGCCCACUUUCUGUGGCCACCGCAUGGGUGAGGCCAUCGCUCUUCAGCCGGCCCGCACUUUCCUACCCCUUCCCCUCAUCCUGCCAACUCCUGUCUGCCUGAGCGACUUCUCCUGAAACCCUCUACUGGGCCAUUUUCCUGCUCAAAACCCUUGUCUCUAGCUCCUGUCCCAUGGUACCAGGUUCAAACUCCUGAAUCCAUCUGUGGAGGUCCCCUGGCUUGUCUGACUCCUCUCCAUCUGUCUAGCCAGACAUGCCUUGACCUUCUGAACAGGCCAGUGCAGGCCAGCCUCAUGCGUCUCCUGACCUUACCUUUCCCACCAGCGCCUUCUGUGAGGGACCACGUGGCUCCCAGCUCGGGCACAGGCCACCUGCAUCCGAACAUCACCCGGCUGCCAGCAGAUGUGGCUGUCCGACCUGGUGUUCCAGCACUGAUUCCGUGUGAAACAUCAGGCGGGACUGGGGAGCCGAGGCUUGUCUCCACCCAACGAGGACAAGACGGCCUUUCCUGAAGUGGUAAAUCCCACUCAGAAGUUAAAAGGAUUCCCACGAAGAUGAAAACGCAAACUCUACGCAAGCACAAGUCAGCUUGAUGAGGCUGAACCACGGUGUCCCAGCUCUUACACAGCCUCGCCUCUGACAAGAUGCGUUCCGUCAGUGCUGGCUGCAUAAAUCACAGCUCGUGGUGGGCCUUUUGCUUCAGCCUCAAGAAACCGUUAGGCUUGAGCGGCUCCAGGAAAAGGGCUUAUCCGCCAGGAUUAUAAAUCUCCUCUUUCUUACCGUAAUGUGAAAGGUAUCGCACCGCUGCAACUGUUACUUCGGGCCCGUCCUUUAUUAACCAGGCCUUUCGUUUCGACCAUUCGGAAUGCUGAACGUGUAUCAAAAAACCAGAGGGCUCUGUGGGUUGGGGAGGCAGCCUCCCUCCCUUCCUGGAAGCCAGCUGGGCCGCCAGGACGACCCUGGCAGGAGGCCAGAGGGCACUGCCUUGGGCCAGAGAGAGAAUUCCAGAUUUUGAAAGAUGAACCUUGAGAUGCCCCCAGAGGAGUUCUGGGUCUCAUCCACAUCCACACCCUGCAGAUUCGAGCCUGCCUUCUCCCUGUAAGUUCCCAUCCACUGUGUUGGCACCUGAAAUGCAGUGUAACAUGAGGGAGAAGAUUUGUGUUUCCCCUGUUCUCCUGGGGCUUUCUUUUCAGACUCUGAGCUCAAGAAUCAGAGAUGCUGGCAAACAAAUCUUUGUACCUGAGGGGAGCUUAAUUAAUAAAAUAAUGACAGUUAAGUAACAAUAUCUUUUACAACAGAGAAGAAUGAAGAUUGCAGAUUUCUGAUAAUGGCUAUCAAAGGCUACAUGUUACGUACCUAAUGAAUGUCCUAAAUACAUGGGAUCUUUCUGGGUGGCUUUAGUAGGUUAAGUGUCCAACUCUUGAUUUCAGCUCAGGUCAUGAUCCCAGGGUCGUGGGGUCGAGUCCCACAACAGGCUCUGUGCUGAGUGUGCAGCCUGCUUAGGAUUCUCUCUCUCUCUCUCUCUCUCUCUCUCUCUCUCUCUCUCUCUCUUUCUCUCUCUCUCCCCCAACCCCCGCCCCUCUGGCCCUCUCCCCUGCUCAUGUGUGCAUGCACGCACUCUCUCUCUCUAAAAUAAAUAAAAAUCUAAAAAUUAAAUGCAUGUGAUCUUUGAAAAGACAGACUAAAUUUUACCCAGAAGACUGCAUAGCUUCCUAAGAAAAAAUAAUUAGUCUCAUUGCUUUCUACAGGAAGAAAACCCAAUGCCCCCAAUCUACAAAGCUAUCAUAGGAAAAUAGCAAAAGCUUACGUCUUUGGCACAUUUUUUGAUCCACACAAAUCACCAUAUUUUCUAAUAAGAAAAAUUAGAAGCUUUUCAUUGCAUGGAAGCAUAAUACAAAAGGACCUUUUUGGGUUUAGCAACAUUAUGAUCAUAAUCAUCAGUCAUUGCCAAUAACCAAAGCAGAAUCAAUUGUUGGGGUAUCCGUAGAGUUAGGGUAACCGCCAUCCAAUUUGAGACACCCACAAGAGCGCAAAGGACUAUCAUUAGUAAACAUGACCUGACUAUAUGCAUAAACCGGACCGUCGCAGGCAAACCUGGACACGUAGUCCCCCUGACUGUGUGAUCCUCUGACACACUAUGUGCAUCUUGGUGCUUUGUUCUGCCAAGGCAGAGCACAUGAGAAAACUCUCAGGCUUCAUGAAAGGGUCCAGGAACAGGGGCGAUGGGCAGGGGGCACGAAGGCCACUGGGCAAAUGGGGUGUCUUGCUGUAGACUUCGUUCAUUCACCCCAUAGCCCUGGGUCUGGAUCUGCUUGUUUGCCCCCUGUUCCAACAAGACCCUUAUCCGACGUUUGACUGGACAUAAAUCCAACCCCGGAUAUAAAUCCUCUAAAGGGAGUAUGUCCUGUUCUAUCCCAUUUCCCAGGUGUCACCAGGAAGAGGAUGGCAUCCGCUGAAUGAGGAUCAGCGGAGAUGUGGGGGGUGAUGAAGAAAAGCAAGUAAUUGAGAUGUUCGCCGUAAAUAUUGCCAUCAACACCUUCCAUCAAUUACACGCCUGCUCCAGGCCCGGCCUUGAGCCUCACGCUUUAUAGACAUCAUAUUCCACCCCCUCGAUCGUGCAUGGAAAUGUUAUCACAAAUUUACAGGUGAGGAAAGUGAAAUGUAGACAUCACAGGGCUAGGAUGUGGUAGCGAGGUCUGGAAAACUCUAGAAGCCCUGCACUUUCCCCCACAAUUGUACCACCCAAAGGGCUCAGCCUGUUUGGGGUUGUCCCUGAAUGAGAAAGAAAAAGACGAAAAGCAAACCCAUUGCCGCAAGCCUCCAAAAGAUUUAUCAGUCCAGAGGUGAUGGCCGGGAUGACAUUGUCCACGUUUUAUUGAGAAAAGGAAUGUCCAUAAAUCCAAUUGUAAGUGGUACUAUGGUAUUAUAUUUUAACAACUCAGAGGAGUCUGGUGAAAGAUCCUUACAGCCUUGGUCAAAUACAAGAGCUUAUGAUAGAAACAGACACUUGAGAUUUUCAGAGUCAUCCUUUCUCACGCAGCUCUGGGUUCCAGGAGAUAAUCAGCAAAUAUCAGUUAAACCAUCAAUGUAACAGGCUCGAUGUGUCAAUUAACCCCACCUAUUAACAAAACGUUUUUCGGUGGACUCUCCUUCCUGCCGCUAUUACCAGACAGCUCUGGGUAACUGGAGCGUUCUUGUCAGUUUAUAGGCAAAUCAGAAAUAGGGGUUUUGCGCUGACUUGGUUAAUCGAUGGGAACGGACCUGGAUCAUAUCUGUCAGAACUGGGCCAUGGGGAAUUGGAGAUAAGGCGAACAAAUGGAGCGACAGGAGCUUGAUAAUUCUGGAAUUUGCCAUGGCAAUAAACCAUAUCGAGCGGGAGGUCUGCAAGCCACGGCGGAGACCAAGCCGAAGACUAAAAGAUAGGACGACGCAACACAUUUCUAUAGAAGCUCUGAAAGGGGCAGAUAAAAUAACAAUUAUUAUGCUUAGGUUCUUGGCUCAUGGGCAAUUUUAACAUGCGCCCGUUUCCACUCUUUAUAUUAUAACGUUACCACAUGUGGACAAGGUUAAAAUACCUGAAAUAAACUCUCGCCAUCUGUCUUUUCUCUCUCACUGGCGGAAAAGGAAUUUGGCUAUGAGUGGCUGCUCAUUGUUCAUACCCAACGCGAGCAGAGAGACAGGUGCCAAAAUCCGUCGCAGGGGGCGGGGAAGGGGGGGCAGGUCUGAGAUUCGAAGACCCGGAACCUCGCCCUUUGCCAGGGAGAUCCCACCGAGCACGUGGGCUGAGCCAGGUGCUACGAAACCCUACCAGGUUAAAGAGGUACCCGAUCACCGACACCGUCGCCAAGCAAAUGUGAGAAGUGGGGGCAUCUUUACUCUCCCCCACGUCAGUGUUUAUUUCUGAAUUACCAAACACACAGAGAUCCUCAGAGCCAGAAGGCCAGACCGGGUCUCAAGAAGUCAUCUGGUCCUGGGCGACCCAGUGGACACCCCCACCGUCCAGCAGAUGUCCCCGCCUCUAGAGAGGGCUCUCUCUCAAGAUCCUCAGCAGCCGCGUUCAGCCUCUUUUGAGCUGGGAGGCUGGCUAACCCAGCACCUGCACACAGCCGCGUCACGCGGAGUUGUGGGCAGUGCUAUUCUUUCAACUAAGUUGGGGGGGGGCACUCAGUUAUAGGGAUGGCUCACAGGCUCCUAGCCUCCAGGAUUACGGAUUGUAUAUUCUGGGUUUCUGCACAAAGCUUUAGUUUGUAGAGAGGAUGCCAGGUUUGGAAAUCUCUGUAGCGCAGCAGUCUCCCUCUUAAAAAACAAAAAAACAACACAACACAACAAAACAAAACAAAAAACACUGCAUUCAGGAUAAUUUGCCAGUCAAGUCUUAUAAGAAAUUGAAUUGGCCGGUUCAUAAGGAGGGGACCCAGGCCUGUGUGUCCUUGUGCAAAUCCCAUAAGCCUCUGUGAGUCUGUGUCCUCAUCUGAAAAUGCGGACAAGGCUAGCGUUUGUCCCACUGUGUUUUUAGGGGGAGAGCUGAGGACAGCCUCAUUCACAGCAAGUGCUCAGCACACAGGCUUAUGAAGUCUCUUCCAGGCAAAGUGCUGUUCCUAGGGUCCCGGCCACGGAAUGGGCUGGUGUCCUACUGGCUACAGCCCUGCGGUGGGUCUGUCCCAUGUGCUAACCUCGACACUCCCCUGAAGCUUCCAUUUGGGAACUCUCAGCUUGCAUUUUUGGGUUGUUUUCUAACCAUAAAGAAGACAGGCAUCAUGGUAGCGACUUCAAGUUUCAGGAACAGUCAGUGAAGGCAGAGGCUGUUGAGAAGCUACAAUUUCACACCUACAGUGACGGAGGCAGAACACUAGCCAGCCUAGUCUUCCCGUCUUCCCGCGUUCACCCUCACAAGGAUUUCUGACUCUCCUGAGAGACCUCAGCCUUUAUUCCAUGCAUACUCCAAUUCCUUGGGAAAUUAGACUGGCAAUGGGAAAUUUUCUAUCAUUUCACACAGGGACAAGGGAAAAAAGCCCUUGUCAGCCGAUUCAUCAUGCUUGCUACUUGUCCCUCUGCUUCCUAGCGAUUCAGAAACAAACGCUACCAAAUCGACCACAAAUGUUUUACUCAAAUAAAAAAUAGCUUUCGUGUUGCCUGUCA